UACGUAGGCAGCGAGCGUUGUUCGGAGUUACUGGGCGUAAAGAGUGCGUAGGCGGAUUUCUAAGUUUGGUGUGAAAUCUCCCGGCUUAACUGGGAGGGUGCGCCGAAGACUGGAAGGCUAGAGUAUGGGAGAGGUAAGCGGAAUUCCUGGUGUAGCGGUGAAAUGCGUAGAUAUCAGGAGGAACACCUGCGGUGUAGACGGCUUACUGGACCAUAACUGACGCUGAGGCACGAAAGCGUGGGUAGCAAACAG
rnacentral:rRNA from 1 species